UACAUAGGGUCCGAGCGUUGUCCGGAAUUAUUGGGCGUAAAGGGCUCGUAGGCGGUCCGUCACGUCGGGAGUGAAAACUCAGGGCUCAACCCUGAGCGUGCUUCCGAUACGGGCGGACUAGAGGUAUGCAGGGGAGAACGGAAUUCCUGGUGUAGCGGUGGAAUGCGCAGAUAUCAGGAGGAACACCGGUGGCGAAGGCGGUUCUCUGGGCCGAAACUGACGCUGAGGAGCGAAAGCGUGGGGAGCGAACAGG
rnacentral:rRNA from 1 species